rnacentral:lncRNA from 1 species
AGAGAGAGUUUGGGAGAGAAGGAGAGCGUAGAAAGAGUAGAGAAGAGGAGAGAAAUUUGGGAGAGUGAGCAAGAGCUCAAGAGCUAGUGAAAGAGGGGUAGUGCUGCAAGAAUUCAUAGAGAGAACUUAGUGGAAGUGUUGUCCAACUAGGGAUUAAGAAAUCUAAAAUCAAGGGGAGGUUCUGUCAAAAUUCAAACUAGCAACUAGACUUAAUAUUGAAAGAACGACUGACCUCUAGAUGGCUAACUGCUAACCUUUGACUAACCCCUUGCACUAGUGUUGUUUUUGUCUAUAAGCAUUUGUUACAGGAUGAAGAGCUGGGCAAAGGGAAUCGCCAACAAGGUCUCAGGAAGGACCACAAGGAGCUCAUCCCGAUUGUGGGGGCAUAGACCCCUAUACCCUUACGGCUAGACUUGGGCCAGGAGAUUUAACCCAUUAAGAGACAACUCGAGGCUUGAUCCAUCUACGUGGAGUUUUAUGCAAGGAAACAAGAUGUGGAGAUCAAGCAAGAUCCUGGUCGGUUAGAAUAGGAAUUGAUAUCGUAUUAUCUAUGGCAAAUGUAACCGACUAGGAUUAAUUUCUAGAUUUGUAACUUUGCCCUCUGGACUAUAUAAGGAGAGGCAAGGGACCCCCUCAGAUCAAUUCAUUACACCUCAUAACAAUAUAAUCAGAUGCAGGACGUAGGUAUUACGCCAUCACGGUGACCGAACAUAGAUAAAAACCUUGUCUGUGUCUUGUGUCACCAUCUAGUUCGUAGCUAGCGCACCUGUCUGCCGAUAAUCUACUACCGUGGAUAUACCCUAAGGUAGACUGCCAACCAGCUUUCGUUGACAGUGGCAUGCCAGGUUGGGACCAUACUGUUUUUGCGGCAAUGUUGUCGU